UGAGGAAUAUUGCGCAAUGGGCGAAAGCCUGACGCAGCAACGCCGCGUGAGUGAUGAAGCUUUUCGGAGUGUAAAGCUCUUUCAGCAGGAAAGAAUAAGUCUAAGAAUAAUAAGCUUAGAUGAUGACGGUACCUGCAGAAGAAGCCCUGGCUAAAUAUGUGCCAGCAGCCGCGGUAAUACAUAUGGGGCGAGCGUUGUUCGGAUUUAUUGGGCGUAAAGAGCGUGUAGACGGUUUUGUAAGUCAGACGUGAAAGCCUGGAGCUUAACUCCAGAACUGCGUUUGAAACUACUUAACUUGAGUGCAGGAGAGGAAAGUGGAAUUCCCAGUGGAGCGGUGAAAUGCGUAGAGAUUGGGAAGAACACCAGUGGCGAAGGCGGCUUUCUGGACUGCAACUGACGUUGAGACGCGAAAGCGUGGGGAGCGAACGGG
rnacentral:rRNA from 1 species